CGCGGGUAAAACCGCGUGGAGGUCCGAACUCACUGCAGUUGAAAAUGCAGGGGAUGAGGUGUGGGUCGGAGUGAAAGGCUAAUCAAAACCGGGAGAUAGCUGGUUCUCGCCGAAAGAUAUUUAGGUAUCGCCUCGAGAAACUCUGUCGAGGAGGUAGAGCACUGGAUGGGCUAGGGGUCUUACCAGAUUACCAAACCCAACCAAACUCCUAAUGCCUCGACAUUUACCUCGGGAGUCAGGCUGUGGGAGCUAAGUUCCAUGGCCAAAAGGGAAAGAGCCCAGACCGCCAGCUAAGGUCCCUAAGUCGUUGCUAAGUGGGAAAGGAUGUGGAAGCACACAGACAACCAGGAGGUUGGCUUAGAAGCAGCCAUCCUUUAAAAGAAAGCGUAAUAGCUCACUGGUCAAGUGAAUCCGCGCCAAAAAAUUUAAC
rnacentral:rRNA from 1 species